rnacentral:piRNA from 1 species
UCUUCCAGAUGUUGGAGUAUGCCUAGUCU